rnacentral:rRNA from 1 species
UACGGGGGGAGCAAGCGUUGUUCGGAUUUACUGGGCGUAAAGGGCGCGUAGGCGGUCAGCACAAGUCAGUUGUGAAAUCUCCGGGCUUAACUCGGAAAGGUCAACUGAUACUGUGCGACUAGAGUGCGGAAGGGGCAACUGGAAUUCUCGGUGUAGCGGUGAAAUGCGUAGAUAUCGAGAGGAACACCUGCGGCGAAGGCGGGUUGCUGGGCCGACACUGACGCUGAGACGCGAAGGCGUGGGGAGCGAACGGG